rnacentral:rRNA from 1 species
GUAGUCAUAUGCUUGUCUCAAAGAUUAAGCCAUGCAUGUCUAAGUAUAAGCAAUUAUACAGCGAAACUGCGAAUGGCUCAUUAUAUAAGUUAUCGUUUAUUUGAUAGUACCUUACUACUUGGAUAACCGUGGUAAUUCUAGAGCUAAUACAUGCUAAAAAUCCCGACUUCGGAAGGGAUGUAUUUAUUAGAUUAAAAACCAAUGCCCUCUGGGCUCUUUGGUGAUUCAUGAUAACUUCUCGAAUCGCACGGCCUUGCGCCGGCGAUGGUUCAUUCAAAUUUCUUCCCUAUCAACUUUCGAUGUUUGGGUAUUGGCCAAACAUGGUUGCAACGGGUAACGGAGGGUUAGGGCUCGACCCCGGAGAAGGAGCCUGAGAAACGGCUACUACAUCCAAGGAAGGCAGCAGGCGCGCAAAUUACCCAAUCCCGACACGGGGAGGUAGUGACAAUAAAUACUGAUACAGGGCUCUUUUGGGUCUUGUAAUUGGAAUGAGUACAAUUUAAAUCCCUUAACGAGGAACAAUUGGAGGGCAAGUCUGGUGCCAGCAGCC